CGACUCAGACAAAUGAUCGCGGCUGCAACAGCCGAAAGGCGGCAGGUGAGGAAAGUCCGGGCUUCAUAGGGCAGGGUGCCGGAUAACGUCCGGUGGAGGCGACUCCCAGGCUAGUGCAACAGAAAUAUACCGCCAUUUUUAUGGUAAGGGUGGAAAGGCGAGGUAAGAGCUCACCGCUGUUUUGGUAACAAAACAGGCUCUGUAAACCCCACUCGAAGCAAGACCGAACAGGGAACGAUGUGGCGGCCCGUCACGUUCCCGGGUAGGUCGCUUGAACCUGUCGGCAACGGCAGGUCUAGAUAGAUGAUCAUUCAACGACAUAACCCGGCUUAUCGUCUGAGUCAUUUU
rnacentral:RNase_P_RNA from 1 species